rnacentral:rRNA from 1 species
AGAGUUUGAUCCUGGCUCAGGAUGAACGCUAGCGGCAGGCUUAACACAUGCAAGUCGAGGGGCAGCGGGGAGGAAGCUUGCUUUCUCCGCCGGCGACCGGCGCACGGGUGAGUAACACGUAUGCAACCUGCCCCUGUCAGGGGGACAACCCGCCGAAAGGCGGGCUAAACCCGCGUACAUGCCACCGGGGCAUCCCGGAGGCAGGAAAGGCUUCGGCCGGACAGGGAUGGGCAUGCGGCGCAUUAGGCAGUAGGCGGGGUAACGGCCCACCUAACCGACGAUGCGUAGGGGUUCUGAGAGGAAGGUCCCCCACACUGGUACUGAGACACGGACCAGACUCCUACGGGAGGCAGCAGUGAGGAAUAUUGGUCAAUGGUCGGGAGACUGAACCAGCCAAGCCGCGUGAGGGAGGAAGGUACAGAGUAUCGUAAACCUCUUUUGUCAGGGAACAAAGGCGGGGACGUGUCCCCGGAUGAGUGUACCUGAAGAAAAAGCAUCGGCUAACUCCGUGCCAGCAGCCGCGGUAAUACGGAGGAUGCGAGCGUUAUCCGGAUUUAUUGGGUUUAAAGGGUGCGCAGGCGGUCUGUUAAGUCAGCGGUCAAAGCCCGGGGCUCAACCCCGGCCCGCCGUUGAAACUGGCAGUCUCGAGUUGGAGAGAAGUAUGCGGAAUGCGCGGUGUAGCGGUGAAAUGCAUAGAUAUCGCGCAGAACUCCGAUUGCGAAGGCAGCAUGCCGGCUCCACACUGACGCUGAGGCACGAAAGCGUGGGUAUCGAACAGGAUUAGAUACCCUGGUAGUCCACGCAGUAAACGAUGAAUGCUGGCUGUCCGGGGGGACUGACCCCUGGGUGGCGAAGCGAAAGCGAUAAGCAUUCCACCUGGGGAGUACGCCGGCAACGGUGAAACUCAAAGGAAUUGACGGGGGCCCGCACAAGCGGAGGAACAUGUGGUUUAAUUCGAUGAUACGCGAGGAACCCUACCCGGGCUCAAACGGGGAGUGGCGCAGGCAGAGACGCCUGUUUCCCACGGGACACUCCCCGAGGUGCUGCAUGGUUGUCGUCAGCUCGUGCCGUGAGGUGUCGGCUUAAGUGCCAUAACGAGCGCAACCCCCGCGUGCAGUUGCUAACAGUCAACGCUGAGGACUCUGCACGGACUGCCGGCGCAAGCCGCGAGGAAGGCGGGGAUGACGUCAAAUCAGCACGGCCCUUACGUCCGGGGCGACACACGUGUUACAAUGGGUGGUACAGCGGGAAGCCAGGCGGCGACGCCGAGCGGAACCCGAAAUCCACUCUCAGUUCGGAUCGGAGUCUGCAACCCGACUCCGUGAAGCUGGAUUCGCUAGUAAUCGCGCAUCAGCCAUGGCGCGGUGAAUACGUUCCCGGGCCUUGCACACACCGCCCGUCAAG